rfam:Pseudothermotoga thermarum DSM 5069 chromosome, complete genome.
GGUCAAGGUACUAAGGGCACGCGGUGGAUGCCUUGGCGGCGGGAGGCGAUGAAGGGCGCGGUAAGCUGCGAUAAGCCCCGGGGAGCCGCAAACAGGCGUUGAUCCGGGGAUUCCCGAAUGGGGAAACCUGGGUGACCGUCAAGGUCACUCACCGCCGAAAGGCGGAGCGACACCGGGGGAAGUGAAACAUCUCAGUACCCCGAGGAAAAGAAAUCAAGCGAGAUUCCCCGAGUAGAGGCGAUCGAAAGGGGAAGAGCCUAAACCGGUGUAACGUAAAAGCCCGUGGGCGUUGUUACACCGGGGUCGUGGGACACAACCGGGCGAGGCCACGGACUCGCCGGGAGGUUACAAAUCUUCUCCCUAGCCGAAGCGUCUGGGAAGGCGCGCCAUAGAGGGUGACAGCCCCGUAGGCGAAAGGGAGAAGACCUCCUGGGUUGUGUUCCCAAGUACCGCGGGACCCGUGGAAUCCUGCGGGAAUCUGGGGGGACCACCCUCCAAGGCUAAAUACUACCCGCCGUCCGAUAGCGCACUAGUACCGUGAGGGAAAGGUGAAAAGAACCCCGGAAGGGGAGUGAAACAGAACCUGAAACCGCGUGCCUACACUAAGUCGGAGCCCGAAAGGGUGACGACGUGCCUAUUGAGUAAUGAGCCCGCGAGUUGCCGUCAGUGGCGAGGUUAAGCCGAUUGAGGCGUAGCCGUAGCGAAAGCGAGUCCGAAUAGGGCGCUAGUCACUGGCGGCAGACCCGAAGCCGGGUGAGCUACCCCUGGGCAGGGUGAAGGUGGGUUAAAACCCACUGGAGGCCCGAACCGGUGGACAGUGAAAAGUCCUCGGAUGACCUGGGGGUAGGAGUGAAAAGCUAAUCGAACCCGGUGAUAGCUGGUUCUCCCCGAAACGCAUUUAGGUGCGGCCUCGAGCGGUCUGUGCAGGGGGUAGAGCACUGAUAGGGCUAGGGGGGUAACCCCCGAACCCUGUCAAACUCCGAAUCCCUGCACAUAAAGCUCGGGAGAAAGUCUGUGGGGGAUAAGCUCCAUGGACGAGAGGGGAACAGCCCAGACCGCCGGCUAAGGGCCCGGAGAGGUGGCUAAGUGGUAAAGGAUGUGGUGCGCCUAAGACAACUGGGAGGUUGGCUUAGAAGCAGCCAUCCUUUAAAGAGUGCGUAACAGCUCACCAGUCGAGGCGCACUGCGCCGAAGAUGUAACGGGGCUCAAGCCACCCCCCGAAGCCGCGGGUCAGUACCUCCGCUGGAGGUGCUGGCGGUAGGGGAGCUUUCCGCUGUAGGGCGAAGGCAGACCCGCGAGGGCUGCUGGACGAGGCGGAAGUGAGAAUGCGGGCAUGAGUAUACGAGAGGAGGGUGAGAAUCCCUCCCCCCGAAAGCCCAAGGGUACCUGGGGAAGGUUCGUCCGCCCAGGGUUAGCCGGUACCCUAAGGUAAACCCGAAAGGGGUAGCCGAAGGGAAGCUGGUUAAUAUUCCAGCGCCACCUGCGGUCGAGGUACGAGGGGGGACGCAGGAGGGUAGGCGCCGAGGGUAAGUGGCAAACCCUUCCAAGCGGUUAGGCGUUGAGGGCGGUAGGUAAAUCCGCCGCCUGAGCUGAGCCGUGAUGGGGAGGACCCGUGAGGGUCCAACGGCGCUGACCCCACACUGCCGAGAAAAGCCUCGCGUACCGCUUGAGACCGUAGGUGACCGUUCCGCAAACCGACACAGGUGGGCGGGCUGAGAAGGCUCAGGGGAGCGGGACAACCCUCGCCAAGGAACUCGGCAAAUUGGCCCCGUAACUUCGGGAGAAGGGGUGCCGUAGUAGGGUGAACCCAGGGGAAGGGGCAACCCGGAAACUGGGGGAGCCCGAGGCGGCCGCAGCGACAAGGCCCUGGCGACUGUUUACCAAAAACACAGGUCUCUGCUAACUCCUAAAGAGGAGGUAUAGGGACUGACGCCUGCCCAGUGCCGGAAGGUUAAGGGGAGGGGUGAGGCCCGAAAGGGCGUAGCUCCGAACCGAAGCCCCGGUAAACGGCGGCCGUAACUAUAACGGUCCUAAGGUAGCGAAAUACCUUGUCGGGUAAGUUCCGACCUGCAUGAAUGGCGUAACGACUGGGGCACUGUCUCGGCGGGGGACCCGGUGAAAUUUCAGUGGGGGUGAAGAUGCCCUCAACCCGCGGCUAGACGGAAAGACCCCGUGGAGCUUCACUGCAGCCUGGUAUUGGAUUCCGGCGCAGCGUGUAUAGGAUAGGUGGGAGGCUGUGAAGCCGCCUCGCCAGGGGCGGUGGAGCCACCGGUGGAAUACCACCCUCGUUGCGCUGGAAUUCUAACCUGAACCUGUGAAGAGCAGGUUGGGGACAGUGCCAGGUGGGCAGUUUGACUGGGGCGGUCGCCUCCUAAAAAGUAACGGAGGCGCGCGAAGGUCGGCUCAGGUGGGUUGGAAAUCCACCGUUGAGUGUAAGGGCAUAAGCCGGCCUGACUGCGAGACCGACGGGUCGAGCAGAGGGGAAACCCGGCCCUAGUGACCCGACGACUCCGGGUGGAAGGGUCGUCGACAACGGAUAAAAGUUACCCCGGGGAUAACAGGCUAGUCCCGCCCGAGAGUUCACAUCGACGGCGGGGUUCGGCACCUCGAUGUCGGCUCAUCCCAUCCUGGGGCUGAAGCAGGUCCCAAGGGUUAGGCUGUCCGCCUAUUAAAGGGGUACGUGAGCUGGGUUCAGACCGUCGCAAGACAGGUCGGUCCCUAUCGGCCGCGGGCGCAGGAGGUCUGAGGGAGGUCUCCCCUUGUACGAGAGGACCGGGGAGAGUGGGCCUCUGGUGUACCGGCUGUCCUGCCAAGGGCAUACGCCGGGUAGCUAUGCCCAUAAGCGAUAACCGCUGAAGGCAUCUAAGCGGGAAGCGCGUCCCAAGAUCAGACCUCCCAUCCCGUUAAGGGAGUAAGGCCGGUUCGAGAUGAGGACCUUGAUAGGCCGGUGGUGUAAGCGCCGCAAGGCGUUGAGCCUACCGGUACUAAUCGGCCGAGGCCUUGACCUU